UACGGGGGGGGCAAGCGUUGUUCGGAAUUACUGGGCGUAAAGGGCUCGUAGGUGGCCAACUAAGUCAGACGUGAAAUCCCUCGGCUUAACCGGGGAACUGCGUCUGAUACUGGAUGGCUUGAGUUUGGGAGAGGGAAGCGGAAUUCCGGGUGUAGCGGUGAAAUGCGUAGAUAUCCGGAGGAACACCGGUGGCGAAGGCGGCUUCCUGGACCGACACUGACGCUGAGGCGCGAAAGCUAGGGGGGCAAACGGG
rnacentral:rRNA from 1 species